UACGUAGGUGGCAAGCGUUGUCCGGAUUUAUUGGGCGUAAAGCGCGCGCAGGCGGUUCGUUAAGUUCGGUGUGAAAGCUCCCGGCUCAACUGGGAGAGGUCAUCGGAUACUGGCGGACUCGAGGGAGGUAGAGGAAGGUGGAAUUCCCGGUGUAGUGGUGAAAUGCGUAGAGAUCGGGAGGAACACCAGUGGCGAAGGCGGCCUUCUGGGCCUUUCCUGACGCUGAGGCGCGAAAGCGUGGGGAGCGAUCCGG
rnacentral:rRNA from 1 species